rnacentral:rRNA from 1 species
CCUACGGGAGGCAGCAGUGAGGAAUAUUGGUCAAUGGGCGGAAGCCUGAACCAGCCAAGUAGCGUGCAGGAUGACGGCCCUACGGGUUGUAAACUGCUUUUAUACGGGAAUAACGCGCCUUACGUGUAGGGCUUUGCAUGUACCGUAGGAAUAAGGACCGGCUAAUUCCGUUCCAGCAGCCGCGGUAAUACGGAAGGUCCGGGCGUUAUCCGGAUUUAUGGGGUUUAAAGGGAGGGUAGGCGGCAUGUCAAGCGUGCUGUGAAAUGUCCGGGCUCAACCCGGGCCUGGCAGCGCGAACUGGCGUGCUUGAGUCCGCGGAAGGCAGGCGGAAUUCGUGGUGUAGCGGUGAAAUGCUUAGAUAUGACGAAGAACCCCGAUUGCGAAGGCAGCUUGCUGCAGCGGAACUGACGCUGAUGCUCGAAAGCGCGGGUAUCGAACAGGAUUAGAUACCCUAGUAGUC